rnacentral:rRNA from 1 species
UACGUAGGGCGCAAGCGUUGUCCGGAAUUAUUGGGCGUAAAGAGCUCGUAGGCGGCUUGUCACGUCGGGGGUGAAAGACCGGGGCUUAACCCCGGUUCUGCAUUCGAUACGGGCUGGCUAGAGUGUGGUAGGGGAGAUCGGAAUUCCUGGUGUAGCGGUGAAAUGCGCAGAUAUCAGGAGGAACACCGGUGGCGAAGGCGGAUCUCUGGGCCAUUACUGACGCUGAGGAGCGAAAGCAUGGGGAGCGAACAGG